ACAGCAGAACAGAACACAAUCUUCAUCAUCACACAACACAAAACAAUAACAAUGACAUUCAUCUUCAUCUUCAUCUGGACACUGACACUGUUUGCUCAAGAGUGUAGAGGACAGUACACUGUAACUCAGAGUCCUUCAAUAACAGCAGCUCAAACAGGACAAGAUGUAAGAAUAAACUGUAAAGUCAGCAGUAGGGUGUAUGAUGGUGAUGAGAUACAGUGGUACUUACAGAAACCUGGAGAAGCUCCUAAACUCCUCAUACAUGAGACAAAAUACCUUUACACAGGAACUCCAUCUAGAUUCAGUGGCAGUGGAUUAAACUCUGAUUUCACUCUGACCAUCAGUGGAGUCCAGACUGAAGAUACAGGAGAUUAUUACUGUCAGAGUUAUCACAGUGGUCCAGUGUUCACACAGUGAUAAAGAGUUGUACACAAACCUCUGUCAGUCAGACUGCACAGUGACUGCACUGAUACACUGGCAGAUACAGCAGGUGCUGAGGGCGAUGAUAUCACACAAAACAAACCCUCAAUAUACCAAAGUUUUCAGAGACAAAAUAAUAUUUAUUUAUAUACUUAGUACUUCUUACUUAUAUCUAAUUAGAUAUUUGUAUUUAUUUGUCCAGAUUUGUUUUUUGUUUUACACACACAGCUUUAAAAUGGAUGUUAAGUUUGACAUAGUUGUACUUUUUCAAUUAUUCUGUAAGGCAAAGGUGCCCAAAAAUCUACACCCAGGGGGCACAAAACAAAAGAAGGCCCAGGACAAUCAACUCAGUCUCGGAGAAAAUCAGCAUACCAACUUUCUCGCAAAGACACUAUCUCAAUCUCAGAAACACCAACUGGGUGUGAAAAGAUUCAUCAUCUUUCCACAUCUGCUUCUCUCUCCUCCUCCCCCCUCCUGUCCCUCUCAGCUCAGAACCACCUUUAAACACACCUAAAUCUUGUAUAUAACAAAUAUCUAAUUAUAUGUACACGAAGAUUGUAACUAUUCAUGUUUGAUAUCAUUCAAAAGGUCUCAGUGUGAGUGGUACUAUGGUAUCAUUCCCACAACUGUAAAAUACACGCUAACACAGUUUUAAGAAUUUAGAGAAAUUCUGUCUCUACUGUGGAGAUGUGUCUGCCAGAGAUUCUCAGUGUAAAAUACCACCUCCUGAGCCACUGGAUUCAUUAAUUCCCAAAUUAUUUGAUUGUUCUUAUUGGUUACCAAUUGCCGAUGAUGUUUAUUGUGUCUGGAUACUUAUGGGGAACUCACAAGAGGUUAAGGGGGAUUCUGUAGCCAGAUUGAACCCCAUGGUGUUGUGUGGCAAUCCCACAACACCAUGUACUAUUAUAAAAUGCAUCUCGUACUCUUGAUUCAUCUCUGAGCUAUGAAUGUUUUGUAUUAAUUAUUUCUAAAUUGAUUAAAUUAUGUAAUUUGCAUGAUACAU